AAACUGGGGUUGGCCUCUGGAUUAUCUUCCAAAACUGUUCAGGCACCCUUGGUCCCCAUUACGUCCUUGGACAGCUACAGCAAUCCAGGAGAGUGAAGAAGAAGCCCACACUUGUGGGUCUACAUCUCUGCUUCACCAGAGGCUUUCUAUAUGACCUUUGGAGGUCAGCACUGCCAUAAGAAGCCCAGUCCCAUUGCCACAGGAAGAUGUGAUGCUUGCCCUAGCCUGUAACACCUAACAUCCAGGGCUUUGUCUAA